GACGAACGCUGGCGGCGUGCUUAACACAUGCAAGUCGAACGGAAAGGCCCUGCUUGCCGGGUACUCGAGUGGCGAACGGGUGAGUAACACGUGGGUGAUCUGCCCUGCACUUCGGGAUAAGCCUGGGAAACUGGGUCUAAUACCGGAUAGGAGCCAUUUUUAGUGUGAUGGUUGGAAAGUUUUUUCGGUGUAGGAUGAGCUCGCGGCCUAUCAGCUUGUUGGUGGGGUAAUGGCCUACCAAGGCGGCGACGGGUAGCCGGCCUGAGAGGGUGGACGGCCACACUGGGACCGAGAUAAGGCCCAGACGCCGACGGGAGGCAGAAGUGGGGAAUAUUGCACAAUGGGCGCAAGCCGGAUGCAGCGGCGCUGCGUGGGGGAUGACGGCUUUCGGGUUGUAAACUCCUUUCGCUAGGGACGAAGCUUUUUGUGACGGUACCUAGAGAAGAAGCACCGGCUAACUACGUG
rnacentral:rRNA from 1 species